UAUAGCAGUAAUGGGGUUAAACUGAUAUUAAAAUGACAACUCCAUAGGUGGUACCAGGUCAGGGGAGUUCAUCUCUGCUCCCAGCAUCCCUGGGACAGUACUGAUCAACAUAGCUGACCUGAUGCAGAGGUGGACCAGUGAUGUUUUCCUCUCAGUGGUCCAUAGGGUUUUACUGCCCCCUGCUGGAGACUGGAGCACACUGCAGUCCCUGGCUUUGUGCAGCUGAAGGAUGAGGUCCUCAUCACCUGUUGUGAUGGGUCCAACAAAUAUCCCCAGGUGAAGGCAGGGUCCUAUCUCAUCCAACACGUCAAUGACUUUUAUAGGAGGGAGGGAGCAUUUCCAAUGUUAAGCUAUGGAAUGAACUGUACAUUUUAUGGUGAAUUUUAAUACAGAUUUACUUUAAUACAAUAAUUCCUUGAAUGUAA